rnacentral:tRNA from 1 species
GGGGUUGUAGCUCAGUGGGAGAGCACUUACCUAGCAUGUGUGAGGCAUUGGUUUCAAUCCUCAGCACCA